CCGAGCAUCUUCCAAAGCCUUGUGCGAAGAGACCCAGGGGGACGGAGAGAUGCUGGAUCCGACCUUGGGCGUUGCACGCCGUUUGUAUGCCACUUGUAACUUCCACCUUUUAAUCUUUGUUCAAAACGCAUACCAAAAGCAAAACUUUGUCUCACACACCAGAGAAAAUAAAAUUAUUGGCAACCAGCACUGCAGCCUUUAAAGGGGGGGGGGAUAUUGCUGGACAAAUACCAAAGUUAA